AAAUUGAAGAGUUUGAUCAUGGCUCAGAUUGAACGCUGGCGGCAGGCCUAACACAUGCAAGUCGAACGGUAACAGGAAGCAGCUUGCUGCUUUGCUGACGAGUGGCGGACGGGUGAGUAAUGUCUGGGAAACUGCCUGAUGGAGGGGGAUAACUACUGGAAACGGUGGCUAAUACCGCAUAACGUCGCAAGACCAAAGAGGGGGACCUUCGGGCCUCUUGCCAUCAGAUGUGCCCAGAUGGGAUUAGCUGGUUGGUGAGGUAACGGCUCACCAAGGCGACGAUCCCUAGCUGGUCUGAGAGGAUGACCAGCCACACUGGAACUGAGACACGGUCCAGACUCCUACGGGAGGCAGCAGUGGGGAAUAUUGCACAAUGGGCGCAAGCCUGAUGCAGCCAUGCCGCGUGUAUGAAGAAGGCCUUCGGGUUGUAAAGUACUUUCAGCGGGGAGGAAGGUGUUGUGGUUAAUAACCGCAGCAAUUGACGUUACCCGCAGAAGAAGCACCGGCUAACUCCGUGCCAGCAGCCGCGGUAAUACGGAGGGUGCAAGCGUUAAUCGGAAUUACUGGGCGUAAAGCGCACGCAGGCGGUCUGUCAAGUCGGAUGUGAAAUCCCCGGGCUCAACCUGGGAACUGCAUUCGAAACUGGCAGGCUUGAGUCUUGUAGAGGGGGGUAGAAUUCCAGGUGUAGCGGUGAAAUGCGUAGAGAUCUGGAGGAAUACCGGUGGCGAAGGCGGCCCCCUGGACAAAGACUGACGCUCAGGUGCGAAAGCGUGGGGAGCAAACAGGAUUAGAUACCCUGGUAGUCCACGCCGUAAACGAUGUCUACUUGGAGGUUGUGCCCUUGAGGCGUGGCUUCCGGAGCUAACGCGUUAAGUAGACCGCCUGGGGAGUACGGCCGCAAGGUUAAAACUCAAAUGAAUUGACGGGGGCCCGCACAAGCGGUGGAGCAUGUGGUUUAAUUCGAUGCAACGCGAAGAACCUUACCUGGUCUUGACAUCCACGGAAGUUUUCAGAGAUGAGAAUGUGCCUUCGGGAACCGUGAGACAGGUGCUGCAUGGCUGUCGUCAGCUCGUGUUGUGAAAUGUUGGGUUAAGUCCCGCAACGAGCGCAACCCUUAUCCUUUGUUGCCAGCGGUCCGGCCGGGAACUCAAAGGAGACUGCCAGUGAUAAACUGGAGGAAGGUGGGGAUGACGUCAAGUCAUCAUGGCCCUUACGACCAGGGCUACACACGUGCUACAAUGGCGCAUACAAAGAGAAGCGACCUCGCGAGAGCAAGCGGACCUCAUAAAGUGCGUCGUAGUCCGGAUUGGAGUCUGCAACUCGACUCCAUGAAGUCGGAAUCGCUAGUAAUCGUGGAUCAGAAUGCCACGGUGAAUACGUUCCCGGGCCUUGUACACACCGCCCGUCACACCAUGGGAGUGGGUUGCAAAAGAAGUAGGUAGCUUAACCUUCGGGAGGGCGCUUACCACUUUGUGAUUCAUGACUGGGGUGAAGUCGUAACAAGGUAACCGUAGGGGAACCUGCGGUUGGAUCACCUCCUUA
rnacentral:rRNA from 1 species